CACUGCAAUAAUCCAGGAGAGAAAUCAUGUGAGCUUGAGAAGGAAUCAGAUUCUGCAUAUAUUUCCAAGUUAACAUGAACAAGAUUUUCUGAAAGACUGCUAUGGAGUCUGAGAAAAAAUGUCAAAGGUAGUGCCAAAAUUGUCACUUAAAGAACUGCAGGAAUGGAGUUGGCAUUUACAGAAUUUGGAAGAGAAGCAGGUUUAGUGAUAAAGACCAGAAGCACAGAGCUAAGCAUAUUAAAUAUUGAGGACAUGAAGAGGAAAGAACUGACAGAGGAGGUGAAGAAAGGUGAUCAGGAAGAGCCAUCAAAGUGUUAUCCUGGAAUUCAAGUGAAGACAGUGUUUCAAAGUGGAAAUGAACAGUGUCCUGUAACCCUCAGAGUGAGACUAGAGUCAGAAUGCAGGCUUUUCUCAUUUGAAAUCUAUAUGCCACAGAGAGGAUCCAGAGAGCCCAUCUCCGGUCAGUUAUCUGUAUUUGUAUGUCAACUACAGCAUCAAAAAGCAUAGGCAUGGAUACUAAGGACCCCCUCUGUACACCAACGCCAGUCCAAAGGACAGUGUGUCACUGUGAACUGGAAAUUCAUCUCUCUUCUUCAAUUUUUUUCUACCUACUUUAUGCUUUAUCUCUAAGUUGAGGCUGUUUAUGGCCUCAUCCUCAAUUACCUUGUCCCUCAUUACUCCCAGUUAAUGGAGAUUAAGCUUUGUAUCAUGACUUCCUAACUAAAAUUGAAAUCACAAGACAUCACAUAAAUAAAGUUACAAAUGGAUUAGAU
rnacentral:lncRNA from 1 species